rnacentral:rRNA from 1 species
GAUGAACGCUGGCGGCGUGCCUAAUACAUGCAAGUCGAGCGAACAGACGAGGCGCUUGCUCCUCUGACGUUAGCGGCGGACGGGUGAGUAACACGUGGAUAACCUCCCUAUAAGACUGGUAUAACUUCGGGAAACCGGCGCUAAUACCGGAUAAUCUAUUGAACCGCAUGGUUGAAUAGUGAAAGACGGUUUUGCUGUCACUUAUAGAUGGAUCCGCGCCGCAUUAGCUAGUUGGUACGGUAAAGGCUUACCAAGGCAACGAUGCGUAGCCGACCUGAGAGGGUGAUCGGCCACACUGGAACUGAGACACGGUCCAGACGCCUACGGGAGGCAGCAGUAGGGAAUCGUACGCAAAGGGCGAGAGCCUGACGGAGCAACGCCGCGUGAGUGAUGAAGGUCUUCGGAGCGUAAAACUCUGUUAUUAGGGAAGAACAAAUGUGUAAUUAACUAUGCACGUCUUGACGGUACCUAGUCAGAAAGCCACGGCUAACUACGUG